rnacentral:rRNA from 1 species
UGCAUCGAUGAAGAACGCAGCGAAAUGCGAUACGUAGUGUGAAUUGCAGAAUUCCGCGAAUCAUCGAGUCUUUGAACGCAAGUUGCGCCCGAGGCUUGUCCAAGGGCAUUUCCGCUAGAGCGUCACCGCGCCCCCCACCGAUCCGCUCCCGCCGCGAGGCGCCGUUCGGUUCGAGUGGAAGUGGCCGUCCCGGUUCGCGCGCGGCCUUCGCAAGAAGGCCUCGGGUAAGUGACGAGGGUCGGCUGAAAUGGAUGGAAUUGGGCCGCCGUGGUGACACAGUCCGCGAUCGGGUGAUUUUCCGCGAGCCUCCUCCGGGAGGGUCGCCGUGAAUUUUUCUAAGUGCGUGUCUGCGUCCCCCAGUUGGUUUCGGGUUACCUCGUGCAGGUCGUGCGCGCCCCCGCGGCGCGCGUCACGCAUCAGACCUCUAAUCGGAAAAGACUACCCGCUGAGUUUAAGCAUAUCAAUAAGCGGA